CUUCUGGAACGUGACAGGACACGCACGAGCAACCUCCCCAAUCCUUCAGAAACCAGAGCAUGGGCAGGCUGGUGGGAACAGAGGAAACACCUGCAUUCCUCCACAGCACAAAUGCAGCCAAAAUAACGAUGAGUCUGAAAAAAGCCCGACCAAAGGCAAAGAAGAAGAGCCAUCCCUUUGGGAAGAGACCCAGUCAGGUCCCUGUCUGACCCUGAAGGCUUGAAGAAUGGAUGUACCCAAAUCCAACAGAAAGAAGCAUGACCUCCACUGGAAACUACACAUGCUGGAAAAGAAAAAGGCUGUGUCCCAACUUUGUGCUUCGAGUCCUGUUCAAUAAAUAAUAACAGAGUA